rnacentral:tRNA from 1 species
GGAUGCGUGGCCUAAUGGAUAAAGCGUCUGACUUCAAAUCAGAAGAUUGAGGGUUCUAGUCCCUACGUGGUCA